rnacentral:siRNA from 1 species
UCCAUCCCAAAGCUGAGGUAUCCA